CAUCUCUUUUUGAUUAAAAUUUAAAGUUGUCUCUGCCCUAUGAUUUAUUAAAUGGCUGCAGUAUUUUGACUGUACAAAGGUAGCAUAAUAAAUUGUUUUUUAAAUAAAAACUUGAAUGAAUGAGUUAAUGAAAUAUAAAUUUUAUUAAAAUAAAAUUUUGAAUUUGAUUUUAAAGUAAAAAAGCUUUAAUGUGUUUAAGGGACGAGAAGACCCUAUAGAAUUUUAUAUAAAAUAUUUAAUAAUUAAGUAUUUUAUAUUUAUUUGGGAGGAAUAAAUAAUUAUAAAACUUAAAUUGAUUUUUUACAUUUAAUUUGUGAAUUAUAUUGAUUAUAUAAAUAUAUAAGAUUAAAUUACCUUAGGGAUAACAGCGUAAUAUUUUUUUAUAGUUCAUAUUGAAAAAAAUGUUU
rnacentral:rRNA from 1 species